rnacentral:rRNA from 1 species
CUGACCGCGUAAUGCUACGUGAAGGAAGAAGGUCUACGGAUUGUAAACUUCUUUACCAGAGGUUACACUUUGGCAAUUAAGUCACGACUAACUACGUGCCAGCAGUCGCGGUAAGACGUAGGUGGCGAACGUUAUCCGGAAUUAUUGGGCGUAAAGGGUGCGUAGAUUGCCAGACAAGUUAACGGUGGGAAAUCGAGGCUCAACCUCGUGGAAGCUGGUAAUACUGUUUGGCUUGAGUGCAGGAGAGGUUAACGGAACUCCAUGUGGAGCGGUAAAAUGCGUAGAUAUAUGGAAGAACAUCAAUAACGGCGAAGGCAGUUAACUAUUCUGUUACUGACGUUGAGGCACGAAAGCGUGGGGAGCAAAACGGAUUAGAUACCCGUGUAGUCCACGCCCUAAACGAUGAGUACUAGAUAUUGGGAACUUGAUUCUCAAUGUCGCUAGGUAACCCAGUAAGUACUCCGCCUGGGUAGUACGCUCGCAAGAGUGAAACUC